GGGAUCGUCCUCGCGAAGUCCUGGCGCAUUCACGAGAGGCCUCCACUCCUCGCUCGACAUCUUCGGGAACGCUGCUGCUAUUGAACCGGCUUGGAGUCGGGAUUAGCGGCGUAAGGCACUACCACGAGAGUGCAAGGUGCGUGACGUCAUUUAUGGACGGCCCCAAAGACAAUGCAAGUAUCAGAACACUUAGAGCCCGGUUCCAGCAGUUAUAUCUUUGAAACCGUUUUGCCACGAUCCAAAAUUAUGAAAAUAAAAAUGUUUUACCCUAUAUGUAACGUGUUGUGCGGAAGGGCCAUUACCUGGAACGUUACCCCGUUCUAGUCGUUUUCCUUUUUUACAGACAAUGUUAUUGUCCGUAAUGUGUGGCGUUUGCAAUGAACCCAUUGAAAGCCGUGAAACAACAUUGCCUCUUGCCAGGGUGAUUUGGGUGCGUCUAGAGCAAUUAAGUAUGCAUUUUUAUGGGGACAUUGUAAUGCAGCAGCAUUUGUUUAACGAGCCUGACUUGAUGCGACCUAGAUUGUCGAAACCUGGUCGACAGUUUGUUCGCUUAAGCAAAUGCUGCUGGAUAACAUUGGUCUGGAAAGCCAAGAGAGGCUAAUGGACUAUAACGUCCAUUUAUGUUUGUUUAGUAACACUUGAUGUUUUUGGAGGCAGCUUAAAACACAAGUCUCCAAUAGUUUUAGGAUUGAUGCUUGAGGUUCUUAGAGCCAAACUUAGAUACCCUUAGGAUGGUGUAGGCUUUGUUAAUGCGCCUGGUUCUUUAAGCCAGGCUAAAGGCUGCUUUUAUUUGAGGGCUCAUUGUGCCACACCAAGGGCUCUCUAGGCCCAGUACCCGCGUAGCUGUGUUGAUGAACUUGACGUCGGAUUCCCAAUCACUCCUCUAUGAGUGAGAACGUCUUCUGAGCAGCAACGUGGUUUGUGUCCCCCCCUCCCCCCCCCCUUGGUCCACUGAAACCGGCUACCCGAGUUUGAUUCCCGUUCUGGAACAACAUCCGUGACAUUUCAACCAUUCCUGGGUCUCCCCCUAUGGCGAAUCAGCCUUAAAAAGAUUACCUGGUGCGGUGUGUCAAUAUCACGAGGGAGACAAAGGUGGCCGGACACGGUGCUGGCCACCCGCAACUUAAUGAGCUGCGUUGGGCUUCAUGGAUGCUCGCUUAACAGCACUUGCCCCAAAAAUAUUUUAAAUGUUAUGGGGGGAAUCUUUGUUUUGAUAGUAGUAUAUAGUGACGUUAAUGAUGGUGGUUAGUGAUGAUGAUGGUUGUUGUAGUGGUAGCAGUGGCACUGACGCUAACGAUGACGAUGAUGGUGUUGAUGCACAACACAGGUGGACGAUAACAAGAAGCUUGGCGAGUGGUCGGGGCUCUGCAAGAUCGACCGCGAGGGGAAACCACGCAAGGUGGUCGGAUGCAGCUGCGUGGUCGUGAAGGACUACGGCAAGGAGACGCAAGCCAAGGACGUGCUGGAGGAGUACUUCAAGGGCAAGUGAAGCUCUUCCUGCUCCUCUUGCAUCGUCCCUACGAUCGCGAUGGAACAAUAAAAGUGUCACUCAACCUGC